rnacentral:rRNA from 1 species
AUACUUCUUCGGACAAUAUACAAGGUGCUGCAUGGUUGUCGUCAGCUCGUGCCGUGAGGUGUCCGGGUUAAGUCCCAUAACGAGCCGCAACCCCUAUCAUUAGUUGCCAUCAGGUCAAGCUGGGGACUCUAAUGGAACUGCCUACGCAAGUAGUGAGGAAGGUGGGGAUGACGUCAAAUCAGCACGGCCCUUACGUCCAGGGCUACACACGUGCUACAAUGGCCGGUACAAAGGGCAGCUACCUGGUGACAGGAUGCUAAUCUCAAAAGCCGGUCUCAGUUCGGAUCGGAGUCUGCAACCCGACUCCGUGAAGUUGGAUUCGCUAGUAAUCGCGCAUCAGCCAUGGCGCGGUGAAUACGUUCCCGGGCCUU